UCCACAUUCAUUCAAAAAAUGUCCAUAAAAAAUAAAGGAAAAGAGAAAACAAAGAAAACAUUGGAUGAACAUCUCAUUAAGUUAAAUCAAAAGCAUCAAUAAUUUUAACGGCAACAACAAUUGUAAACAAAACACUAAGCACACAGAAUGUGCGAAUAUGAAAGCUAUGCGAGUGGGUGCGUGCGUGUGUUGCAGUGUGUGUAAUGGCGGCGCAAAGGUACUGACCCCGUUUGCAGGACUGCUCAUGACAGUUGGUCUGGAAGGGCAAUGCUUCAGUCACGCACCAGACAUCAUCGCCAUGGAACAGCGGAUUGACACGCAGCCGUCUUUCCACCGUAAACCAUCUCUCAUACGGGCAACCCUCAUGUGCAAACAAACGAAUGACGCCUCUUUUUCAGGUACGACACGCUCCCUUUAAAUACAACUCCCUUCCGCCGUUAAUUGACAAACUCCACCCAAAAUCACGCUAAAAUGAAAGUGAAAGUAGAACAGAUUCUUUUGUUUGCCACAGUGCAUAAAGUCUUCUUGUGAAGGGAGCUCUAGUGUCGAGAAUGGUAUCAAUGACCUCUGUCAAAAGAUCAGUCUCUAAAUCUCGAGUCAGAGAUUUGCAAUGUCGUAGUCCAUAAUUAAACUGCGAAUAUCAGAUAUACUUUGUUUUGACAAACCUUCGCUAGAACUCCUACUGUAGGAGCAGAGCAUGUGUGGAAAGACAUACAGAUGCAGACUUGGCCAAAUCUGUACCCUAGAAGCCAGCGCCAAUAGGGUGAGCCAGAGGGGAUAGGUCCACUUCCUCUCAGCUGUACCUUUUCCAUAUGGACUAUGCUAUUUCUGGAUGCAGUUAACAAUAUGUGCCUCUUUCCUGUCUUGACAGGAUUUCUGUUCACCAAUUCAGGUGUCCAGGAAGUCAGCUGCCUUCAGGGAGAGAAGUUUGUCCUUAGCUCUAAGCAUCAACAUGGAAUGUAGCCCAUCCUGGUGACUUUUGUAGAAGACUACCAAUGUGUUGAUUGUCCACACCAACAAAUGGUAGCCCCUAAGCCUCUAAAGAGGAAUUGUUUUGAGGCUAGAAACACAGCCCUCAUUUCUAGGCAAUUUAUGUGCCACAAGAAAUGAAGGCCUUCCUAGGCCACACCCCAAGUGUGAGGGACCCAAGGUCAGAAGCCUGGCCUCCGAAUAGAAAGGGUAUGAAGCCCUCGCUGUGUAACCCUUAUCAUAUGCAAGGAAUUGCAAAAAGGGCCUUGUUUGGAGUAAACUUUUCCAAAAGUUUGC
ensembl:lncRNA